AGAGUUUGAUCAUGGCUCAGAUUGAACGCUGGCGGCAGGCCUAACACAUGCAAGUCGAACGGUAACAGGAAACAGCUUGCUGUUUCGCUGACGAGUGGCGGACGGGUGAGUAAUGUCUGGGAAACUGCCUGAUGGAGGGGGAUAACUACUGGAAACGGUAGCUAAUACCGCAUAACGUCGCAAGACCAAAGAGGGGGACCUUCGGGCCUCUUGCCAUCGGAUGUGCCCAGAUGGGAUUAGCUUGUUGGUGGGGUAACGGCUCACCAAGGCGACGAUCCCUAGCUGGUCUGAGAGGAUGACCAGCCACACUGGAACUGAGACACGGUCCAGACUCCUACGGGAGGCAGCAGUGGGGAAUAUUGCACAAUGGGCGCAAGCCUGAUGCAGCCAUGCCGCGUGUAUGAAGAAGGCCUUCGGGUUGUAAAGUACUUUCAGCGGGGAGGAAGGGAGUAAAGUUAAUACCUUUGCUCAUUGACGUUACCCGCAGAAGAAGCACCGGCUAACUCCGUGCCAGCAGCCGCGGUAAUACGGAGGGUGCAAGCGUUAAUCGGAAUUACUGGGCGUAAAGCGCACGCAGGCGGUUUGUUAAGUCAGAUGUGAAAUCCCCGGGCUCAACCUGGGAACUGCAUCUGAUACUGGCAAGCUUGAGUCUCGUAGAGGGGGGUAGAAUUCCAGGUGUAGCGGUGAAAUGCGUAGAGAUCUGGAGGAAUACCGGUGGCGAAGGCGGCCCCCUGGACGAAGACUGACGCUCAGGUGCGAAAGCGUGGGGAGCAAACAGGAUUAGAUACCCUGGUAGUCCACGCCGUAAACGAUGUCGACUUGGAGGUUGUGCCCUUGAGGCGUGGCUUCCGGAGCUAACGCGUUAAGUCGACCGCCUGGGGAGUACGGCCGCAAGGUUAAAACUCAAAUGAAUUGACGGGGGCCCGCACAAGCGGUGGAGCAUGUGGUUUAAUUCGAUGCAACGCGAAGAACCUUACCUGGUCUUGACAUCCACGGAACUUUCCAGAGAUGGAUAUGUGCCUUCGGGAGCUGUGAGACAGGUGCUGCAUGGCUGUCGUCAGCUCGUGUUGUGAAAUGUUGGGUUAAGUCCCGCAACGAGCGCAACCCUUAUCCUUUGUUGCCAGCGGUCCGGCCGGGAACUCAAAGGAGACUGCCAGUGAUAAACUGGAGGAAGGUGGGGAUGACGUCAAGUCAUCAUGGCCCUUACGACCAGGGCUACACACGUGCUACAAUGGCGCAUACAAAGAGAAGCGACCUCGCGAGAGCAAGCGGACCUCAUAAAGUGCGUCGUAGUCCGGAUUGGAGUCUGCAACUCGACUCCAUGAAGUCGGAAUCGCUAGUAAUCGUGGAUCAGAAUGCCACGGUGAAUACGUUCCCGGGCCUUGUACACACCGCCCGUCACACCAUGGGAGUGGGUUGCAAAAGAAGUAGGUAGCUUAACCUUCGGGAGGGCGCUUACCACUUUGUGAUUCAUGACUGGGGUGAAGUCGUAACAAGGUAACCGUAGGGGAACCUGCGGUUGGAUCACCU
rnacentral:rRNA from 1 species